UACAGAGGGUGCGAGCGUUAAUCGGAAUUACUGGGCGUAAAGCGUGCGUAGACGGUUAUUUAAGUCGGGUGUGAAAUCCCACGGCUCAACCGUGGAAGUGCAUUCGAAACUGCGAGGCUGGAGUCCUGGAGAGGAAAGUGGAAUACUCGGUGUAGAGGUGAAAUUCGUAGAUAUCGAGUGGAACACCGGUGGCGAAGGCGGCUUUCUGGACAGGUACUGACGCUGAGACGCGAAAGCGUGGGGAGCAAACAGG
rnacentral:rRNA from 1 species